UUACGGUCAAAUCACGCUGAAACACCGGUUCUCGUUCGAUCACCGAAGUUAAGCAUCGUAGAGCCAGGUCAGUACUUAGAUGGGGGACCGCUUGGGAACACCUGGUACUGUAAG